CCUCCCCAGCACUGUCCUGGGAGGUCCAGACCGCCCUUUAAGCCCCCACCUCCCUGCAGCUUCAGCCACAUAGGCCGUCUCUACCCACCCAGCCCUGACCUCCAGCUGAAGAGACUCCAGCAAGUCAAGGCUCUGGUCGGUAUGGAGGCUUUGCCACAGCUGGGUCCCGCACAGAGGGUCCCCACCCCACUCUCUGCAGAGGCAGUUCAGCCCCAGGUGCCGUGGGGAGAGGACACUCCAAGGGACCAUCCAAUGCCAAAGCAGCUGCACGCUGUCACCCGCCCUGGCACCUGCGGCAGCCUCUCCCUGACUGCUCAGGAAUGCAGUGGGAUGGACCCUGCUGCUCCAGGCCACCAGCAGAGGCAGGGGGGCACGGUGCCGUGUGGGGACGGGCUGCUCCUUCCCCAGUGCGGGUUGGCCCUGCUGAAGGGGUGGGCAGAGCCCCUCUUAUGCCCCUCAUUCUCCCACGCAGCCACUCAGUUACAGAACCGAGCGUUGGCCCAGAACACAGCUCUGAUCAUGGUGGACGCCCUGCGUUCGGGCUUUACCGAGUGUCCGCGCUGAACCAGGCAGGUCGGGAGGAAGACAGCAUGCUCUGGAAACAUCUGUCCGAGACCUUUCUUUUGGAGCUCUAGUCUUCAUUUUUAAAGGAUGGUUGAAGAUUAGGGACACCGUUUAAUAUUUCUGGUUUUCUAUACUUGGGGGCACUGGGCUCUGCCUGCUACUGUGCCAUGUCUGUACCUCAUUUAGGAUGGAGACUAUUAUUUCAAUGUUUUGAUUUGAAAUUCUAGUAAAAAUAAGUGCUUUGAAACCCUGUCAUCCUAAACUAGAGGCCAAGAGGGAGAACUGAAACCUCUUCCCUUGUAUUUCUCUCCCCUCGGCCUGGGCACCUGGCACUGCUUCUGCCCCGGCCCAGAGGCCAGGUGGGGGGAGCCGAAUGGGCAGCAAGGGAUCCUGGGGAUGUCCCUUCACCACCCCCUUUCUGAAGCUCAGCCCCUCAGCCCAACCGGGCAGUACAGUGGGGAGCACCCCUGGGACAUCGGAGGCCUGGCCCCUCCGAUGUCCAACCAUGGAUUGACCCAGCAGUUGUGCUCCUGUCCCCAGCAUGACUUGCUCUUCAGAGACACAGGGUCCGCUCCCUAAGGGGUGGAGGAGCGCUUCCAUUCUGGAGUCCUUGGCUCUGGGGACAGCUGACUGGCAGGUAAGCAAGGCUGCUGCUGGUUUUUUUUUAAUAAACCUGUUAACACCCUACCAGUUCUGUGCUAGGUGGCCUGGCUGGGGGGUAGCAGGCUUGCUCAGUGGCCCCCAUGUUCUAGGAAGGUCUCAGCGAGCCAGGUACCUCACAAGGAACGAGCCUGCUAAAGGAUUAGUGCUAGCGGGGGGGCCCCAAACCACCCCUGUGAAGUGCUUGGUUCCGGACAACCAGGAAAGGCUGAGUGUGGUUCAGGGUCAGACUGACGCACCACCCAAGGGAGUGCUCUCACUGAGCCAAGGGACCUAUGGUGACCAGCGGCCCCUCCUGUCCCGGGCCCUCUGUGGGGAGCACACCGUCAUUUUGGGAAGCAGGUUUAUUCUCAAUUUCUCACACUGCUUCUGGGGGGCAACUCAGCCCUCCAUUUCUGCUUAACGUAAGGACGACAGCAGGGGUUGUUGAACUGCUAAGGCCAGAAAGGCAUUCUAGGGGAGCAGAGAUCAGGACCUUUGCCACCCAGAAAGGUACAAGACUGCCAGGCAGACAGGUCUUUGUGCUGUCUCCAUGGUGAUGUAACUGUGCCCUACUCCAGAUGCCUCUUUCCCAAAGCAGGUGUUACCUGACCCUGGCCUCACCCAGGCCCAUCCUUACAGUGAAUCGGAUUAGGAGUGCAGGCCUAACCUCAGCCCGCAGGGUGACAGGCCAGAUGCACAGCGGGGUCCCGCACACGGCCGGGGAGCUGGGCUUGGGGCCACCAUCUCGGGACCGUGGCGAGCACGCAGCCUGGUGGCUGCACGGUGGCGCCACAGCUUGGUUUCCAGGCACACGCGGGAAAGGUGCCAGCAGCAGGGUCUCCCACAGCCGCCCCAGGACAGCGACCCCCCAGGACAGUGAUGAGGUGAGUGGGUAGGAGGGGGGAAGAGACCAGCUUGCAAAGAAUACCCCUUGGGUGACACCAUUUCUCAUUUUAAAAAACAUUAAAUUCAGAAGCACACAGGAAUAUAAAAGGAAUAAUCCAUUACGUUUUAUUUUGAGUAUGUCCUGGAUUCUUACCCUGCCCUUUUACAUCAAGAGUAUUAACAUUUUGGAAGAAUCUCAACAGAUCUAGAGAAUUAUCAUCAUUGGUCCCAGGAUACAGAAACUGUGACCUCCGAGAAUUCUGGAAAACUCCAGGUCAGCCAUGUGCUGAGGGGAUCAAUG